rnacentral:rRNA from 1 species
AAGCUGACUGCGGAGGACAUUACGAGUUCUGAACGGGUUGUAGCUGGCCUUCCGGGGCAUGUGCACACCCUGCUCAUCCACUCUACACCUGUGCACUCACUGUAGGUUGGCGUGGGCUUCCUUCGCGGGAAGCAUUCUGCCGGCCUAUGUACACUACAAACACUAUAAAGUAACAGAAUGUAUUCGCGUCUAACGCAUCAUAAUACAACUUUCAGCAACGGAUCUCUUGGCUCUCGCAUCGAUGAAGAACGCAGCGAAAUGCGAUAAGUAAUGUGAAUUGCAGAAUUCAGUGAAUCAUCGAAUCUUUGAACGCACCUUGCGCUCCUUGGUAUUCCGAGGAGCAUGCCUGUUUGAGUGUCAUGGAAUUCUCAACCUAUAAAUCUUUGUGGUUUAUGGGCUUGGACUUGGAGGCUUGCCGGCCUCAAUGGUCGGCUCCUCUUGAAUGCAUUAGCUUGAUUCCGUGCGGAUCGGCUCUCAGUGUGAUAAUUGUCUACGCUGUGAACCGUGAAGUGUUUGGCGAGCUUCUAACCGUCCCUUUGGGACAAUUUAUUGACAUCUGACCUCAAAUCAGGUAGGACUACCCGCUGAACUUAAGCAUAUCAAUAAGCGGGAGGAAUA